UCGAACGAUGAACUGGAGCUUGCUCCAGGGAUUAGUGGCGAACGGGUGAGUAACACGUGAGUAACCUGCCCUUGACUCUGGGAUAAGCGCUGGAAACGGCGUCUAAUACCGGAUACGAGCUUCAGCCGCAUGGCUAGGAGUUGGAAAGAAUUUCGGUCAAGGAUGGACUCGCGGCCUAUCAGCUAGUUGGUGAGGUAAUGGCUCACCAAGGCGACGACGGGUAGCCGGCCUGAGAGGGUGACCGGCCACACUGGGACUGAGACACGGCCCAGACUCCUACGGGAGGCAGCAGUGGGGAAUAUUGCACAAUGGGCGCAAGCCUGAUGCAGCAACGCCGCGUGAGGGAUGACGGCCUUCGGGUUGUAAACCUCUUUUAGUAGGGAAGAAGCGAAAGUGACGGUACCUGCAGAAAAAGCACCGGCUAACUACGUGCCAGCAGCCGCGGUAAUACGUAGGGUGCAAGCGUUGUCCGGAAUUAUUGGGCGUAAAGAGCUCGUAGGCGGUUUGUCGCGUCUGCUGUGAAAUCUGGGGGCUCAACCCCCAGCCUGCAGUGGGUACGGGCAGACUAGAGUGCGGUAGGGGAGAUUGGAAUUCCUGGUGUAGCGGUGGAAUGCGCAGAUAUCAGGAGGAACACCGAUGGCGAAGGCAGAUCUCUGGGCCGUAACUGACGCUGAGGAGCGAAAGCAUGGGGAGCGAACAGGAUUAGAUACCCUGGUAGUCCAUGCCGUAAACGUUGGGAACUAGAUGUGGGGGCCAUUCCACGGUCUCCGUGUCGCAGCUAACGCAUUAAGUUCCCCGCCU
rnacentral:rRNA from 4 species